rnacentral:ncRNA from 12 species
ACAUUCUUAGAAUAUCCGUCCUAGUGUCGUAAGACAGGGUUAAACAACGAGCAUCUGUGAUAGAUGCACUUGAUAAAGACUAGACCUAAGCAAGUUUGAGUUGCAAG